UGGGGAAUAUUGCACAAUGGGCGGAAGCCUGAUGCAGCGACGCCGCGUGAGGGAUGACGGCCUUCGGGUUGUAAACCUCUUUCAGUAGGGACGAAGCGUAAGUGACGGUACCUGCAGAAGAAGCACCGGCUAACUACGUGCCAGCAGCCGCGGUAAUACGUAGGGUGCGAGCGUUGUCCGGAAUUACUGGGCGUAAAGAGCUCGUAGGCGGUUUGUCACGUCGUCUGUGAAAUCCUAGGGCUUAACCCUGGACGUGCAGGCGAUACGGGCUGACUUGAGUCCUACAGGGGAGACUGGAAUUUCUGGUGUAGCGGUGGAAUGCACAGAUAUCAGGAAGAACACCGAUGGCGAAGGCAGGUCUCUGGGUAGUAACUGACGCUGAGGAGCGAAAGCAUGGGUAGCGAACAGG
rnacentral:rRNA from 1 species